AUUGAACGCUGGCGGCAUGCCUUACACAUGCAAGUCGAACGGUAACAGGUCUUCGGAUGCUGACGAGUGGCGAACGGGUGAGUAAUACAUCGGAACGUGCCCGAUCGUGGGGGAUAACGGAGCGAAAGCUUUGCUAAUACCGCAUACGAUCUACGGAUGAAAGCGGGGGAUCUUCGGACCUCGCGCGGACGGAGCGGCCGAUGGCAGAUUAGGUAGUUGGUGGGAUAAAAGCUUACCAAGCCGACGAUCUGUAGCUGGUCUGAGAGGAUGAUCAGCCACACUGGGACUGAGACACGGCCCAGACUCCUACGGGAGGCAGCAGUGGGGAAUUUUGGACAAUGGGGGCAACCCUGAUCCAGCCAUGCCGCGUGCAGGAUGAAGGCCUUCGGGUUGUAAACUGCUUUUGUACGGAACGAAAAGACUCUGGUUAAUACCUGGGGUCCAUGACGGUACCGUAAGAAUAAGCACCGGCUAACUACGUGCCAGCAGCCGCAGUAAGAC
rnacentral:rRNA from 1 species